rnacentral:miRNA from 1 species
GAAGUUGUUUAUACUAAAUUGGUGCAAAAGUCAUUGUGGUUUUUGCCAUUUAAAAGUAUGGCAAAAGCAGCAAUGACUUUUGCACCAACCUAA